rnacentral:rRNA from 1 species
CAGUGUCAGGUGGGCAGUUUGACUGGGGCGGUCGCCUCCUAAAGUGUAACGGAGGCGCCCAAAGGUUCCCUCAGAAUGGUUGGAAAUCAUUCGUAGAGUGCAAAGGCAUAAGGGAGCUUGACUGCGAGACCUACAAGUCGAGCAGGGACGAAAGUCGGGCUUAGUGAUCCGGUGGUUCCGCAUGGAAGGGCCAUCGCUCAACGGAUAAAAGCUACCCCGGGGAUAACAGGCUUAUCUCCCCCAAGAGUCCACAUCGACGGGGAGGUUUGGCACCUCGAUGUCGGCUCAUCGCAUCCUGGGGCUGUAGUCGGUCCCAAGGGUUGGGCUGUUCGCCCAUUAAAGCGGUACGCGAGCUGGGUUCAGAACGUCGUGAGACAGUUCGGUCCCUAUCCGUCGUGGGCGUAGGAAAUUUGAGAGGAGCUGUCCUUAGUACGAGAGGACCGGGAUGGACGCACCGCUGGUGUACCAGUUGUUCUGCCAAGGGCAUAGCUGGGUAGCUAUGUGCGGAAGGGAUAAGUGCUGAAAGCAUCUAAGCAUGAAGCCCCCCUCAAGAUGAGAUUUCCCAUAGCGUAAGCUAGUAAGAUCCCUGAAAGAUGAUCAGGUUGAUAGGUUCGAGGUGGAAGCGUGGUGACAUGUGGAGCUGACGAAUACUAAUAGAUCGAGGACUUAACCAUAUAA